UCUUACUUCAUGCCUUCGAUGUUACAAGAACACAAUUUGACAACCUUUGGAUAGUUAUAGUAAUUCGGAGCAUUUUAAGAGUACUUCCAGUUUUCAUUCUGUUCUUGAUACCCAGCAGUGAUCCAAAUGCUUCUAUUCUCCCAUCCGAGAUGUUGAAGAGUAAAAAGGGAGACGAUAUGUUGGAAAAUCAGAACAUGGAAAUGGCUCCUCUUGUGAGCAGUGUUGAUCAGCAUUUAGUGGA
rnacentral:misc_RNA from 1 species